GAUGAACGCUGGCGGCGUGCCUAAUACAUGCAAGUCGAGCGAACAGAUAAGGAGCUUGCUCCUUUGACGUUAGCGGCGGACGGGUGAGUAACACGUGGGUAACCUACCUAUAAGACUGGAAUAACUCCGGGAAACCGGGGCUAAUGCCGGAUAACAUUUAGAACCGCAUGGUUCUAAAGUGAAAGAUGGUUUUGCUAUCACUUAUAGAUGGACCCGCGCCGUAUUAGCUAGUUGGUAAGGUAACGGCUUACCAAGGCAACGAUACGUAGCCGACCUGAGAGGGUGAUAGGCCACACUGGAACUGAGACACGGUCCAGACUCCUACGGGAGGCAGCAGUAGGGAAUCUACCGCAAUGGGCGAAAGCCUGACGGAGCAACGCCGCGUGAGUGAUGAAGGUCUUCGGAUCGUAAAACUCUGUUAUUAGGGAAGAACAAAUGUGUAAGUAACUGUGCACGUCUUGACGGUACCUAAUCAGAAAGCCACGGCUAACUACGUG
rnacentral:rRNA from 1 species